GACUCCGUGGCGCAAUAGUAGCGCGUCUGACUCCAGAUCAGAAGGUUGCGUGUUCAAAUCACGUCGGGGUCA
rfam:Nematostella vectensis strain CH2 x CH6 NEMVEscaffold_251_Cont20854, whole genome shotgun sequence.